GAUGAACGCUGGCGGCGUGCCUAAUACAUGCAAGUCGAGCGAACAGACGAGGAGCUUGCUCCUCUGACGUUAGCGGCGGACGGGUGAGUAACACGUGGAUAACCUACCUAUAAGACUGGGAUAACUUCGGGAAACCGGAGCUAAUACCGGAUAAUAUAUUGAACCGCAUGGUUCAAUAGUGAAAGACGGUUUUGCUGUCACUUAUAGAUGGAUCCGCGCCGCAUUAGCUAGUUGGUAAGGUAACGGCUUACCAAGGCAACGAUGCGUAGCCGACCUGAGAGGGUGAUCGGCCACACUGGAACUGAGACACGGCCAGACUCCUACGGGAGGCAGCAGUAGGGAAUCUUCCGCAAUGGGCGAAAGCCUGACGGAGCAACGCCGCGUGAGUGAUGAAGGUCUUCGGAUCGUAAAACUCUGUUAUUAGGGAAGAACAAAUGUGUAAGUAACUAUGCACGUCUUGACGGUACCUAAUCAGAAAGCCACGGCUAACUACGUG
rnacentral:rRNA from 1 species